AUAUUACUCCCUCCGUUCGGAAAUACUCGUCAUUGAAAUGGAUGUAUCUAGAUGUAUUUUAGUUCUAGAUACAUCCAUUUUGGUGACAAGUAAUUCUGAACGGAGGGAGUAGUUG
rnacentral:pre_miRNA from 1 species